rnacentral:misc_RNA from 1 species
AUACAUGAAGAACAAAGAUAGAACUGAGUACAUUAAGUGGAUGGGUAUUGUCAAAUCUUACAUUGAGAAGAAGUAAAGAUUAUUUUCUUAUUAUGAUCCAUUAACCCGUGUAUUGGUUAAUGGAACUUUAAACAAGGAUGUCAAUUUGGCUACCUAUACAAAAUCUCACUAGCAUUUGAAGAGGGGAUCUCCAUGGUGGGAAGAAUUGAAGGGCUGCUGAGUUUAAAAGUUGUUUGGAAUUUGGAUCAUUCAGUUUUAUGCCAUGCUCUAUUUAUCUGGGUUCAAACAA